rnacentral:rRNA from 1 species
GGAAUCGCUAGUAAUCGCGAAUCAGAAUGUCGCGGUGAAUACGUUCCCGGGUCUUGUACACACCGCCCGUCACACCAUGGGAGUUGACAACGCCCGAAGUCAGUGACCCAACCGAAAGGAAGGAGCUGCCGAAGGCGGGGUUGAUAACUGGGGUGAAGUCGUAACAAGGUAAC